UUUUCCUGCAAAGUUGAAAAUAUCAUUUAUGCCUUUUUAUAUAUAAACAAUUUAGCCAUUGUUUGGUUGGGGGUUAAGGGAUGGAAUAACCCCUUAACCCCCAUUUUAUCCCCAAACACUCCAAAAAAUAGGUGGGGUUAGCUAACCCCACCUAACCUCACCUCAAAUAAAUUAUCCUGGAUUAGUUAACCCCACCUAACCCCACCAAACUCCAACCAAACAUUAUUUUUUAUUCAUAAUAACCCACUAUCUUUCUUAUCACACCUACUCCAACCAAUCAUUAUCCUUCUUUAUCAAUCAUUAUCUUUUUAUCCCACCCACCCAACCAAACACUAUUUUUCAUUAUUCUAGUCUAACUCCAACCCCCAACCAAACACAAAACAACUUUAACCCCACUUUAACUCUGAACUUAACUCUAUCCCUGGAAUAGCUACUUUUUCCUUAACCCCGAACCAAACGGAGGCUUAGGGUUUAGACUAAGGAUUUGGAAUUUAGAGAGAUAUUUAUGGUAGUUUUAUAUAGUUAGGGAAUAUCGAUAUUGGUAAAAGUUUUUAUAUUUAAAGAGGUAUCUAUAAUAUUUUAGAGUUUUAUAGAAUUAGAUUUAAAAUUGCCCCUACUAUAUAUUUUGGACUGUAUAAAAGAGCAUCAUUUUAGGAAUUGACUGAAUCUCUUGCGGCUAGUAGAGGUUGUUUAGAUACGGAGAACUUGAAGGGCAAGAAACUUGCGAGUUUCGUGAACUUAAACUUCGUGUCCGAUUGGCAGAAUUUGAAAAAUAAUUUUCAUUAAAUUUUGAUUGAGAAAUCCAAUAAUCUCACGGCUUCCACACCAAAACAAAUGCUAAUAGUUAGCUCAUCAUUUUAGAAAAAAUUAUUUUUACACAUCAAAAGAGAUGCACAUCUUACAUCCCAUUAAUUAAAUGAGUGAAAUAUUUUUAUUAGUCACAUCAAGUCAUUAGUGUAUGACUCUUAUCUAUUAAAUGGGUGGGAUAUAUACCAUGAAUUUUUUUUGGAGUGUACGCAUGGUAUUGCUUUAUAAUUUUAGCAACUCGACAAGAUGACAAAAUUAUUAGGCAGAUAAAUUUAAUGAUGACACAUAAAUUGGCAUCUUCUGCGAGUAUUAAUCACCAUAAUUAUUCUCCAAUGGAAAGUCAAAGAUGGUUGCAUCAAUUAACCAAACACGACCUGCGACUUAUAAGAACUUCGAUUUUUCUUUUUUUUCUUUUUCUUUUUUUUUUUUUUUUUUUUCGCUUUGAGGUCUAUGUAUAUUUUUAGGUUUUUAUCUUCUAGAAAUAAGGUCCUGUUGUGUCUCCAGUCAAAUAUUUUGUUCUCUUACUUUGGCCAUCAAAGAUGACUUCUAAUUCAACAAAUCCACGUGAAAUUAUAUGUUGAGAGACUCCUAUUACUCAGACUACAAAUGCUUCUGCUUGUAAAAAGCUUGAGGUUUAGCACAGCUUUUUUGCAUGUGUUUUUAGCAGUAGUAGUGGCUUUUUAUGCAAUGGAAAAGUGUUUAAUUAAAUAUUAAUUAAAAUUCUCCGUUUAUUUAGGCUUGGUCUGAUAGAAAGUAUAAAUGAUAAUUAAGUUUUCUGUACAACAAUAGUUAAGUAUUGAAAUUAUUCGUACGACAAUUGUUGCGUAUGUUAGUGGUUAAGUGCUCCUAAUUUCUCCUAAAGCAUUGUUUGAAUGGAGGAUUAUGUGGAAAUCAUGUAAGACUAGCGUAGUAAUCCAUACGAUGCGACGGAUAGAUAAUUAGAGAAAAUAUAGAAAACAUUAAUUAAAAAGAAAAGAAAAAAAAAACAACGAUAAAAAAAGCAAGGGAUGGGAUUCAUUUUGCCGUUGAACGAAAAUAACAGCUGAAGGAAGAGGAGGAUCGAGGAAGGACUUUAGCUGGUUCGGGUGGAGCAUACACUCAAAAAUGAAGAAAAAGUUGCCAUAUGACAACUUUAGAAUAAAUAAAUAAAUAAAAUAAAAUUAUAUAUAUAUAUAUAUAUAUAUAUANUAAUGCAAGUUGGCUGAAUAAUAAAUGAUAUGAAUCAAUUGGUCUGGUUUGGUCUAAUAAAGCAGACUGGUUCAAGUAAAGAAAGAGGGCACCGGUUUGGUUCAGGGAAACAAAAAACAGGGAACAUGAGCCGGUUUAGUGUAGAGGCCUCACUCAAUCAUGUUAGGUUCAAGCAAAAAAAGAUAAAAUUAUUUGCAGGACUUGAGCCAGUUCAGGAUGGAACUCAUACUCAACAAUUCGGUUCAGUUCAACUAAAGGAAAAGAACCAGUGGAGCCCACACCCAACAACAUUGAAGCUUGUGUUGCCAUGUGGCAAAUUUUUUGAGAAAUAAUGUUAAGUAAUAGAUAAUAGAUAAUAGAUAAUAGAUAGAUAAUAGAUAAUAGAUAAUAGAUAAUAGAUAAUAGAUAUUCUUAUUACGAAACAUAAGUAAAUUAGGUCCUCUUCCUGAGGGGGAGGGGGGGGAGGGUUAAAAAAUUCACUGAUUUUAUAUUUUUAUAAAAUUGGACCGUACUUUUUAAAUUUGCAUAUUAGAAAUGAAUUUUAAACAAGUGACCAAAAGGUCAAUUUGCAAAUUACAAUUUGUAUGUACUUUUUGUUUAAAAGCCAUGCUUUUAUCCAAUAAAAAAAUUAAAGAGUAAAAGAUAAUAAAUAAAAUUAAAAUAAUACAAUUACCUCUCAAAUAGUGCGAUACAAAUAUAAUAUCGUGCAACACUAAUACAAAACAAAUUUUAACGUUUUAAUGUUUUAACGUUUAGAUGAGCAAAAUUAAAAUAAUAUUGCACCUUUUAAUGUUUGAAAAUUUUAACAUUUCAAAUUUUUAUUAAAAAUGAUCCAAAUAUUGCACCUUUAACCGAAUGUUGUACAAUUUCAGUAUAUGUUGCACAAAUUUGAAAAUAUUGUUGUACAAUUUUAGAAUUAAAAAUGUCAAGUUAUAAUUAUAUAAACUUUUUUUUUCGAGAGACGAGAAUUCUUAUUAAGCACAAAAAUAAAAAAAUAAAUAUAAUCAACAAAGAAGAAUAGUGUAAUAUGGUCUAUACUUUUGCAAUAUAUUCUCAAAUCUCAUUAUUUUUAUUAAUAGUGCAACAUGUUUUUAAAAAUUAUAGUAUGUGAAGGUCUCCAUAAGCACCCGUUUUCUAUACAUGAAGGCAUCGACAAGCGUACCCUACCUACAUUUAUAAGUAGAAGGGUAUUUUGGUUGGGUUAAAAAAAAUAUUGGUCGAAUUAGUAAAAAUAAAAAAAUGGCCUAUUUUUACAAAAUUGCAAAACUAAGAGAUUUUUUGUACAAUAUGGCCAAAAAAGCUUUAAUUUGUCCAGAUAAAUUUGUUUGGGUAUAGAACCCUAAAUUGUCCAUUUGAGAUUGUAGGAUCUGUCACCACAUAGGCACCUGAUCUCACAUCUCAAGAUUUCCUAUUUAAUUAGAACGGAUGUUGAUAUUGGACUCUCUUCAACACUUAGUGGGUCCACACAUUUUUGGACCAAUAAUAAAAAAAAAUUAAUAUAUAUAUUAAGAAGAUUACAAGAAAAACUUGAAAUAGCUUUUUUAUAAUUUUUAGUUUAUGAACUUAAUUUCAAAUUAUUUUUUAAAUUUUUAAUUUUCAAAUAAAAUGGCUUUUUUUGGAUAAACCAAACAAGGGUUUAGACAACCUUGGUGGGUUUUUAGUAUUAAUAUAAAGUAAAUUUGUCCAAAUAAAAUAAUUAAUAAUCUAAAAAAUGAUAAACUUAAAGAGUUUGAAAAUUAAUUUGACAUUAAAUUCAGAAACUAAAAAUUUAUUUAAGAAACUAUUUUAUUUUUUUUUAUUUUUUUCUUGUAUUUUUGUAGUAUGUACUUGAUUUUGCCUUAAGAUGUGGGAUUCGUCACCCUUGCGGCAACAUAUUUUCUAAUCCUCAAAUGGAUAAUUUGGAGUUCCAUCCCCAAACAAUUUUGGUCCAAUUUGUCCCUUUUGUGGUUUACCACACUAUUACUUUGUCGUCUUGUAAUUCAAAAAUUAUAUUUAACUACUCUAUAAUUUUUUUUAAAAAAAAUACUAUUAGAAUCUAUUGUUAAACAUAAUAAUAGUAAAGCAACAAAUUUGGUUAAUCAUAGGACAGUACAAUAUAAAAUGUUAUCAAUUUAUAAUUUAUAUUUUAUCAUCUUGUGCUUUGUAAAAAAAUGUACUUUCUUCUAUUUAAUGAGAGAUGCUUACUAUGUAAUUUUUGAACUAUAGAAUGACAAAAUUUGUUGCUUUACUACGAUAAACUUCAAUAUGCCUCUUUUUAGUCUAUCACGGUUUUAUUUUAUCAUCUUGUGCUUUGUAAAAAAAUGUACUUUCUUCUAUUUAAUGAGAGAUGCUUACUAUGUAAUUUUUGAACUAUAGAAUGACAAAAUAAAACCGUGAUAGACUAAAAAGAGGCAUAUUGAAGUUUAUCAAAAAAAAAAAAAAAUAUUUAGGUGGAGUAGAAUUAAUUAUAAUAUUUGUUGUAUUCAAUACUCAAAACACUCCUGUAAAUAUAAACAUUGUCUUUAAAAAUACAAUAAAAAUACUCAAAUACUAUAAUAUUACAGAGUUUCCAAACAGGCCCUUAUGGUUCAGUUUGGUUUGCUGGUGCAUCAUAAUUUUUGCUCAGCACUAAUUGGGUAUUAAAUGUGUUGGCCCAAAACUGGGCUCAAUUGGCCCAAUUCAACACUUUUUGAAUCUUUUUAUUGUUGUUUAGGCAAAUAUGCAUUGAGACACUCAAGACUAUAUGAAAACUAAAAGAGGUACCUCAACUUUGAACUUUUUUUUUUUCAUUGACACUACUCAAACUUUUUGUUUGUUUAAGUUAAGUUCUUCUAGUGAGUUAAGUUAAAAAAGACUCAUUAAAAUUAAUAGCUCUAUUAAUUCUUGGGUGUUAAACUUUUAACUUGCUAAAAUUUGAUUAAAGCCACUAAAUUUGAUGGAGUUGAUAAAUAUAUUUUAAGAUCAAAAUGUAAUAUGACAGACGUUGUUUAGACCUUGUAACGAUUAAAGAUUAACUUUUGUGUAAAGUAAGCAUAGCAUUUUGAAAAUCUAUUAUUACCUAGGGAUCAAAUAGAAAAUCAACAGUUAAAAAAUAUUCAUUAUUUGAUUUAUAGAAUUCGAUAUUCAAAUUUUAUAAUUUUUCAUUUAUAGGCACUUUGAAUGUCAUCGAAUUUAUGUAAUUAGUUAGAGUUUGAUUCUUAUAUAUCAUUAUAAAGUUUUAAGUAUGUGAUAUAUGAGAUGUACUUCAGUAUCAGAUUUUGGCAAUAAUUUCUCAUAGUAGACGAGGUUUUCUGUGACACCCCCAAGAUUUGGUAUAGAUCUAAAUAUAAAAUAUAAUAUGAUUAAAUCUCUUAAUCAGGUUAUAAUAUUUUGGGCAGUGGUUAAACCCAAGAAGUUGAAAGGGUUAAACGUGCUAAGGUUAGAGUAGUUUUAGGAUGGACUAUUCUCCUGAGAAGCGAGACGUUACUGACUCACUCUUGGUAUUAGAGCCCAAUCAUCAGUCGAAAGUGUGAGAUGAGUCUCGGCUAAGUUAGGGUAAUACAACGGAUAAAUCGUGACUUUCUUGCUGAUGGCUGUUGUGGGUGGAGCACGUAUGACUUCCCACAAAAUUGGGUAAGGCUAGUGAGAUGAGUCUCCUAUCGUCUCACCCUAGAAUUUGGUUUAGUCCUAAAUAUAAAGUAUAAGGAAAAUUGCCUAUACACUUAUGAAAACUUCGAAAAUAUUUCAUUUGCCCUUAUUUUUUUCUUUUCAAUAUACUCCUCAUAUGUUACUCCGUUAUUCCAAAAUACCCCUUCAAUUACCACUCGUUAAGUUAACUUUGAUUAAACAUAAGUUAAACAUCUACCAGAAUUUUAAAAAAUCAAAAUACCUUUUUUGCCCUUAAUUUAAAGGCAAAUAAGAACGGUUGGUGAUGGUAGAAGGGUAUAUUUGAAAAUACCAAAAAUUAAAAUAACUUUUUGUGCCCCUAACUUAAGGACAAAUAAAAAAAACUAGUGAUGAUAGAAGGAUUUAUUUGAAAGGACAAAAUAGUAAUUUUAUAGAAAUAACAGCUAUUGCUAACAGUUCAUUAACAUAAUUUAACUAUAGGGAUAUAUUUAAAAUAUAUUGUAAAACUGGUAUUUUCAAUAUUAGCCUUCUAAGAGUGGUCAAUAAGAAAGUCGAAAACUUUUCAGAAAUAUAUAAGCAAUUGCUCCUAAAGUAUAAUAAGACUAAAUCUUUUAAUUUGACUAUAGUAUUUUGGAUAGUUGCUAUGCUCAAGAGGUUAAGAGGAUUAAACAUGUUUGUGCUAGAGCCGUUUUUAGAAUAUGUGACCUCCUAAAAAGUGAGAUAUCAUAUUUUUAUUCAUUUUUUAGAGGGUGUAUAUCUUGCACUCCAAAAUUUAAGAAUUAAUAGAACUCUCUUAGAUUUUAGUUAAAAAGAUUAAAAAUUGAUCAAAUUAGUGAAAAAAUAUAGGCCCUAAGAACUAUAUAUAUGAGUGUACGUUUAUACCAACCCUACGGUGUAUGGGUAGGAUUGUUCUUUUUGUUUUGUUUUGUUUUGUUUUAUUUUUAUGUGCGUCGAACAUGGAUGUGUUAGGCUUACAUGAUAAGGGCAAGGGAAUACCUACCUAAGGGAAUUUAGUACUGUUUAGUCUAUUAUCGGUCAAACCAACGAAAAUGAUUUAUAUUGAUUUGUUUGCUUGUUUCAUGUAUAAAAAGGAAAAUGCUUUGGGUGCUAAAAUAAUUUUGUUUUGAGAAAGAGAGGUAGCAAGUUAUCCGUUUUAUUUAUUUUUUUAGAAUUAAACUCGGUUAAAAGUAUAAAGCUUAUAUUUCGAAUUUGAGAAGCAGUUACAAAUGUGAAGCAAUUAAAUUUCAACAUUUUGAAAUUUAAAACUCAAAAUUUUGUAAUAUAAAUUUUAGGGUUAAUUGCAUACAGCUCCUUAUAAACAUAUCAAAUAGCAGAUAUAUUCCUAUAAAGUUUAAGUUUUUAUUUUUUGCAGAAGUCCUACCGUUUUCAAAUAUAUCCCUACUGAUAGAAUCCAUUAGAAAAAUAUAGUCAACCAUGAGUAAAAUUACUUAAUCCUGGUUAGUAAAUGAGUUAAACUGACCUUUUAACCCUCUAAUAUUAUUAGGUAAAAUAUUUUUUUGGUAGGACAUUUCUGUACAAUUUUAACAGCUGAAGCUUUUGGAGGGAUAUAUUUGUAAGGGCAAAAAUGUUAUUGCAGUUAACUAUUGUUAAAAAAAAGUAGUGCUCUGACGGUAAUUAAUCGAAUGGAUAAAUAUGAGUAUCACUGAACUUUUACAGGGAUAAAAAUAAAAACUUGAACAUUGUAAAGAUAUAUUUACUAUCUGAUAUAUUUACAGAGAGUUGUAUGCAAUUAACCCUAAAUUUUUAAUCUUGUUUAAAAUUUUAAAUAUAGCGUACUCGACCUUGGAGGCAGGGUUGCAAUGUUAGUAGAUGGUCAGCUCGUUUAGCAAGUGCCGGACGGAGUUGGAGUCGUUUUGGCACGUAGUGGAUAUAAAAAGGACAUGAAAAUCGAGAAUCAACUCAAUUGUAUUUUUAGUACACUUCUAGACUCCCGGAAGUAGUUUAGGGCGCUCACAAGUUACAAGUUGAGGAAUGGAAGUUUAGACCGUACUUGAGGAUGCCCUAUUCUAGUGAGGAUCCAGAGGUGUCAGGCCUUGAUGUGGGCGCCCGAAUUUUGGUAUUGUAGUAGUUUGAAAAGUAAGUGAGAUUGAUUUGACUUGUAUCAAGGUGCAUUUGGGUGUAAGGUGACUCAGCAAGAUUUCGGGUGCAGGUUCUGGGUGCUUGAAUUGGUUCAGGCAUAGAUAUGACGGAAGAGGAGCCGUCGAAUGCAGUAAGAGAGCACUCGAAAGAGGAAGAUUAAGAGGUUUCGAAUGCCUGAAUGAUGGUUCUGGGUGCCCAAAACUCGACAUUUUAGCUGAAGUUAGAUUUAAAGAGCCUUUUUACAUUGUUACAUUAUAUUAGUUGAUAGUGGCCUUCAUGCUUAUCUUUUUCUUCUUUGUACAUUCUAUAGAGAGAGGAAGAGAGGAGAAGAGAGUGUGGGAGAUCUAAGGAAAUGAUUCAGGAUACGCGCGCAUGAUUUUUCUAUCGCCUUUUGAGGUUGGUAUUAAAAUAUAUUAUUACAUUGAUUGGGAUUUUUAAUGUGCAAUUUACAGUACUUUUUAGGAGUAUAAUUUUUUUAUGGGAUUUUUGUGAGAUUUGGAUUUAGUAGUGAAAUUUAUGCAUGGUUUAGGAGCCAAAUUUCCUGGUUCGAUUCCCUACGGCUUAGGUGCCGUACCAUUGAGGACCUACAGCGGAGUUUGUGUCCUCCCAUCUUCCUUUCCCAUUUUCGGUAUUGGCGAUUUAGGUGGGUUCUAUAUUGCCAAAAGCGGCGUACUACUUCCUAUAUUUUUUUGUAUGUAUUAUUAUUAUCCUACCUACGGUGUAGUGAUAUUAGCAGCAUGUGAUAACUACUUCACAUUUAUUUGCAUAUGAGUUGAUGAUUGAGCAUAUAGGGAGUAGAAUCGAAUUACUAUAGACAUAUUAAUCGUGGAUUUUGUAAUAUUAAACUAUCAAAAAUGCUAUGAAGGUUAUCAGACGGUAAAGUAGUGGAUAGGGAGAGGUGUUUGCUAGUUUGACAUGCUAGGCUUUUGUGAUGUCAUAUGAUUGUGCCGAAGGCACUUGGACAGUGCAUAGUGAUCUCUUUGAUCAUCGUAUUUGACUAUAACUUGCAGAGUCACAUUGAGCUUGAUAAUGUCAAUGUGAGCUUGAUAAUGUCAAUGUGCUAUAAUACUCGGUGGGUGUCACUCUUCUCGAGUGCUACUCCAGAGGCUAGCUAAUGAUAUAGUAAAGAUAGUAGCCUCUGUGUUGACGGCGCAUCUGCGAGGAGUAUGGUCUGGAUAGUAGGCAAGUGCUAGCUUGACCGCACUGCUGAGUCGGUUGUCAUAAUUAGGUGAUGCAAUAUUUUUUUAUAUUAGUAUUAUAUUUGAUGCAUGUAUUAGCCAUCUGCAGUAUUGUUUCCUUUUCUAUUUAAGAGGAAUGCUAGGCUUAGUUGUUAUUCAGUGCAGUGCAGUACCUCAUGUUAUUAUGGUUCGAUUAUUUUUCUAUCUUACCUUUAGCAAAUUAUUUGUUAUUCAGUGUAGUACCUGUUAUUAUGGUCCUAUUGUGCUUUGCUUUUUACAGCUCUCAAUGCUGAUAUCGAAUCGAGAUAAGGGGAUCACGCAAUAGUUAGCAUCUCUUAUCCAAUUUUUGAGUGAUAGGAAAAAACCACCGGCUAGUUCGCUUUUGGAUAUAGCACUAUACGUCAGGACUGGCGAGGCCAAGGCCCUUUACUUGUAUUUAUAUUUUGAGAGUUAUAUUCAUAUGGAAUUAUGCACAGUAUUACCCACUUGGUAUAGUUAGCAUGCCCAAGGGCUUUUGCUAUGGACUCGGAGUGUGACAUUAAAUUUUAAAUUAAAAUUAUAAAUUUUAAAUAUUAAAAUUUAAAAUUAAAAUUCUAAAUAUUAAAUAUUAAAAUUUUAAAUUCUAAAUUUUUAAAUUUAAAUCUAAAUUGUAAAUUCAAAUAUUGAGUUUUAAAUUUUGGUUGAGAUUUUAUAUUUUAAAUUUUAAAAUUUUAAAGUAAAAUUUAGAUGUUAAGUUAAAAUUUUAAAAUAAAUUUAGCAAAAAAACUACUAUUUACAAAUAACAAAAAGUUUUGCCCAACAGUUUUUUAAAUCACUUCUUAAAAAAAUCACUUUUCUACUUAACCAUAAACUCUACCACAUUUAAUCAAAAUCAAUUCUCUGAAUCAAAAUUAAUUUUAUGGAAAUUACUUUCUCAGAAUCUAGGCUAAAUAGGAUCUCCCUUUUGGAAUUAUUAUACACUGCUUGAUUCUUUGAAAGUAUGUGGGAAAAAUUUUUUCAAGGAAAAAAAGUUGUUCAUAUUUAGUUUUUUCUCUAUUUAGUUCCAAUAUAAUUAGUUUUUUGGAAAGCUUCUUUCCAAAUUUUAUAAAAAAACUAGCAUUUUUAUUUUUUAAAAAAAUUCAAAAAAUGAAAGUAUAAAUUUGACAUAAAAUUAGAAAAAUAAAUUUUGAAACAAACUUCUUUUUGGAAACCAAAUAAAAAAAAAAGAAAAAAUUCAUAAAAUUUUUUUGCACGAAAAUUUUUUUUCCACACUUUUUGGAUGAACCAAACACUCCUACAAGAAACUCAUGGUUUUUUGCCCUUUUGGAGUAAAAAGUAAUAGACAAAAGUUGAGGGGCUAAUGUUGCAAUUUACCCAAUUGUAAAGCGAACUUUUCCCUUCCGAGUUCCGACACUGUUCGCAAACCCUCGCCCUGGCUUUUCGAAGUCGAGAGAGAGAGCUCCUACUCCCCAACAAUGGAGCUCACCAAAACCCUAACCCUAACUCUCCGCAUCUCCCCCUCUCUUCACUGAGGCCCCCUAUUCCGCUUUUCCCCUCUUCCUAGCACCAGAGUAUAAGGCGACGAGGGGAGAGGAGGAAGGGGGAGGGGGCGCGGAGAUGGAGAACCACAAGAAGUCUCUGCUGAGGGUCCGGGUCCGGGUCACGGCGCGGAAGCGGGCGCGGGAGUCGCCCUCCUCCGGCGAGGGCUCCGGCCGGAAGAUGCGGGCGCGGGUGUGUGCUAACUCGGUGAGGAAGCUCGCGUGCCGCGAGAUCGGCGGCCUCCCUCGCAUGGCCCGCGUCGCCUCCUCCAGCGCCCCCGAGAAGUUCCGCAACAUCCAGCUCCAGGUCCGUGCUCCCUCACCCGUAAUUUGAGUUCCUGUUCCUUCGCUUUCUUGUUGUUUGGUUGGAAUCGUCGAAGAUCGUGCGCUCGGGGCUCGGAAUUCGUUAGGAUUUGGUGACUAUGAUCGUUGUGAAACUCUUAGUUCUGCGAAGUUGGAAGCUUUUUUGUAGAUCAGCGGCCAAAAUGGUUUUUGUGAAGAUUGGUAUCUAGGGUUUACGAUUAUGUUUAAUUUUGACUCUUGGAUUUGGCUUGUUCGUUAGGAGAUGUGGCAGUAAUAGAUGAUUGGAUGAUGUAUAGCGAAAUGAAUGGUUGUUAGGGUUAAGUUUGGUGUUUGAACUGUAUAUUGCUUUGGAGCUGUUGCGAACAAACUACUUUGGUGGAUUGGUGAUAGAAAGUUAGGGAUUGGACAGGAAAAGAAACAUGCUUCUUGUCACGUCAAUCCAGAGGCAAGCAGAGCAACAUGCUUCUCUACAUUUUAAUUUAUCAUCCCUUAAGUUCUAAGAAGUAGCAUUCCUUAUAGAUGAAACAUGUUUAUUUCUGGCAAAUGUUGCUUUUUAAUAAAGUAUUUUCCUUGAUUUUGAAACUCCAGAUUUUGAAGAUGAUGACCAAGAAAAAUUGACCAUGGCAGUAAAAUGAAAAAAAAGAUAUGAUUGUGAUAAUUUCCUGGUAGUGCAACGGAAUUUAUGAAUUACCAUGAUUCAUUCAAAAUACUUCUGGGUAUCCUUCUAUGAUUUGUGAGGCUACCAUGUGAGAUAAGGAAUUGGUGAUGAGGUUUUAUGAUAACAACAAUUUUGGGGAUAAAAAACAGAGCUUAUGUUGAUGAUAGAAAUAUUUCUAAGUUCGCCUUAGAUUGCUUAUAUUGAUCAGCAUUAUUAGACACCCUGUUAAUUUUGAGGAUUAUACUCUUAGUAGUAUUAAAUAAAGAUAGGUUACUUCGAUAAUUGCUUUUAGACAGGUUUUAAUGAAGACUGAUGCCUUGUUUGGUUAAGCAUACAUAUUCCUUGUUUUUUUUUCCCUUUAAACCCAAAUUUUAUGCAAUUGGAUGCUAUGAGCUGAUGCAUUUGCAAGUUGCAAGCAAUAACAAGAAUAGAGAAGUCCUUCCCAAGGCGAAUUAAAUUGCAUAGAAUUUGAGAUUUACAAAAUAGAGAAAAAUGUCAGGGUAGCCAAAGGAAGCCUAAUGGCUAAUGCCUCCAUUAUAAUGAUGUGGAGAGUUGCUCUUCUUAUUUAUCAUCGAUUUAUGCUCAGUAUCUGUGGAUAAGGAUAACUGUCGAACUUAGUAUAUUAUGAUUGGCUGCUUCUAGGCAAACGUCCUUAUUGCCUUUAAAAAAGAAUUGCUUAUUAGAUGGAAUGGAUGUCUAACUUACAUUUCUCUGAGCCACCGUUUGGUUGGGGGUUAAGGGGUGGAAUAACCCCUUAACCCCCAAUUUAUACCCAAACACCACUCUUAAGGGGUGGGGUUUACUAACCCCACCCCAAACCGGGUUAGUGGCGUUUACUAACCCCACUCCCCCUCCCAACUUUAACCCCGCACGCAUUCCGAGCCCUCACCUUUUUCUUCUUUAUCAAUCAUUAACCCCACUCCCCCUCCCAACUUUAACCCCGCACGCAUCCCGAGCCCUCACCUUUUUCUUCUUUAUCAAUCAUUAUCUUCUUAUCCCACCUACUCCAACCAAACACUUUUUUUCACUAUCCUAGACUAACUCCAACCUCCAACCAAACACAAAAAAAUUUUAACACCAUUUUAACCCUGAACUUAACCCUAUCCCUGGAAUAGCUACUUUUUCUUAACCCCGAACCAAACGGUGGCU
rnacentral:lncRNA from 1 species